rnacentral:rRNA from 1 species
UUGCUCCCGGAUGUUAGCGGCGGACGGGUGAGUAACACGUGGGUAACCUGCCUGUAAGACUGGGAUAACUCCGGGAAACCGGAGCUAAUACCGGAUAGUUCCUUGAACCGCAUGGUUCAAGGAUGAAAGACGGUUUCGGCUGUCACUUACAGAUGGACCCGCGGCGCAUUAGCUAGUUGGUGGGGUAAUGGCUCACCAAGGCGACGAUGCGUAGCCGACCUGAGAGGGUGAUCGGCCACACUGGGACUGAGACACGGCCCAGACUCCUACGGGAGGCAGCAGUAGGGAAUCUUCCGCAAUGGACGAAAGUCUGACGGAGCAACGCCGCGUGAGUGAUGAAGGUUUUCGGAUCGUAAAGCUCUGUUGUUAGGGAAGAACAAGUGCGAGAGUAACUGCUCGCACCUUGACGGUACCUAACCAGAAAGCCACGGCUAACUACGUGCCAGCAGCCGCGGUAAUACGUAGGUGGCAAGCGUUGUCCGGAAUUAUUGGGCGUAAAGGGCUCGCAGGCGGUUUCUUAAGUCUGAUGUGAAAGCCCCCGGCUCAACCGGGGAGGGUCAUUGGAAACUGGGAAACUUGAGUGCAGAAGAGGAGAGUGGAAUUCCACGUGUAGCGGUGAAAUGCGUAGAGAUGUGGAGGAACACCAGUGGCGAAGGCGACUCUCUGGUCUGUAACUGACGCUGAGGAGCGAAAGCGUGGGGAGCGAACAGGAUUAGAUACCCUGGUAGUCCACGCCGUAAACGAUGAGUGCUAAGUGUUAGGGGGUUUCCGCCCCUUAGUGCUGCAGCUAACGCAUUAAGCACUCCGCCUGGGGAGUACGGUCGCAAGACUGAAACUCAAAGGAAUUGACGGGGGCCCGCACAAGCGGUGG